UACGUAGGGUGCAAGCGUUGUCCGGAAUUAUUGGGCGUAAAGAGCUCGUAGGCGGUUUGUCGCGUCGUCCGUGAAAACUUGGGGCUCAACCCCAAGCUUGCGGGCGAUACGGGCAGACUUGAGUACUACAGGGGAGACUGGAAUUCCUGGUGUAGCGGUGAAAUGCGCAGAUAUCAGGAGGAACACCGGUGGCGAAGGCGGGUCUCUGGGUAGUAACUGACGCUGAGGAACGAAAGCGUGGGUAGCGAACAGG
rnacentral:rRNA from 1 species